GACGAACGCUGGCGGCGUGCUUAACACAUGCCAGUCGAACGGAAAGGCCCUGCUUUUGUGGGGUGCUCGAGUGGCGAACGGGUGAGUAGCACGUGAGUAACCUGCCCUUGACUUUGGGAUAACUUCAGGAAACUGGGGCUAAUACCGGAUAGGAGCUCCUGCUGCAUGGUGGGGGUUGGAAAGUUUCGGCGGUUGGGGAUGGACUCGCGGCUUAUCAGCUUGUUGGUGGGGUAGUGGCUUACCAAGGCUUUGACGGGUAGCCGGCCUGAGAGGGUGACCGGCCACAUUGGGACUGAGAUACGGCCCAGACUCCUACGGUAGGCAGCAGUGGGGAAUAUUGCACAAUGGGCGGAAGCCUGAUGCAGCAACGCCGCGUGCGGGAUGACGGCCUUCGGGUUGUAAACCGCUUUCGCCUGUGACGAAGCGUGAGUGACGGUAAUGGGUAAAGAAGCACCGGCUAACUACGUG
rnacentral:rRNA from 1 species